rnacentral:autocatalytically_spliced_intron from 1 species
CUGGAAAAUCAGGCUGAGAAGUCCAAAAUUGCCAGUGCCACCCAGGACUACUGAUCCCCUACACAAACACCCUUUGCUGAUGCUGUGCCCUUCUCUCUUAUCAGCGGACCCAGCAGUACAGACAGAUGGCAGCCCUCUCUGCUGCCAUUUUCACUUCAGCCCCAAGGUGAUGUUCACAAAGGUACUGAAGGCCCAGCUGUGGGUGUACCUACGGCCUGUACCCCGCCCAGCCACAGUCUACCUGCAGAUCUUGCGACUAAAACCCCUAACUGGGGAAGGGACCGCAGGGGGAGGGGGCGGAGGCCGGCGUCACAUCCGUAUCCGCUCACUGAAGAUUGAGCUGCACUCACGCUCAGGCCAUUGGCAGAGCAUCGACUUCAAGCAAGUGCUACACAGCUGGUUCCGCCAGCCACAGAGCAACUGGGGCAUCGAGAUCAACGCCUUUGAUCCCAGUGGCACAGACCUGGCUGUCACCUCCCUGGGGCCGGGAGCCGAGGGGCUGCAUCCAUUCAUGGAGCUUCGAGUCCUAGAGAACACAAAACGUUCCCGGC